UAUGGUUUUUUUUUAAUAAGU
rnacentral:piRNA from 1 species